CCAGAACGUUCUAGAAGCAUUAAUGGUUGAUGGGCAGCAGGUGCUGGUUCUGCCUGCUGUGCUGCAGCUGGGUGCUGUGGGUGCCUGCAGCGUUUAGCCCCUUGCACUUCCAGUCGUGGUGCAAUUGUGCUGUUUCAUUUGCCUUCUUUUUCUCAUCCUUGUGAGUUCUGUGUGUUUCUUGGUAAAUGUGGUGGCUUACGCCUUUGGGAAACUGGUGCUGUGAGGAGAUGGCUGCUGUGUAGCUUGCCUGAAGAAAAGGCUGCAUUCAUACUCCUGGGAAGAUUGUUUGCCAAAGCUCUGAGCAUACAUUGUGUAAGCAAGAAACUCUGCUGAGAAGUGUGCCACUGGAUCCUACCCGUGCAGGCAGAGAGAGCCAUCCAGACAAGAGGCAGUGCAAGUGGGCAAAGUUUGCUGUAGCUGAGGAAAUUAUGGAUUUGGCAUUGUGAACCCAGGAAGUGGAGAACUGAUGGAGGAAUGCAGUAGGGAAGUAGAAAUUGCUCUGUGAAGGAUUGCAGUUUAACUUUUGGGAAAUGAGAGAGCAGAAUGAAGUAGACAUGGGAUGGUCAUGCCUAAACUUCUAUGUCUCUUCAGUGCUCCAGAGAGUUUUACCACUAUGUGUAAAGCCUGAAGAAAGUAAAAUUCACAAACAUUAGAUGAGAAGAAUGCAUGUGAUCUUCGAAUCUGAAUUCAUCUGUAUGUGGACCAUGGACAGGUUGGGAAUGCUCUGCCAGAAGAUAAAAGCAAAAGAAGGAGAUUCAUGAACUCAAAGAGCUUUUUUUUUCUGCCUGGCCCAAGCAUUUCAAAUUUUAUUAACCUCUUCUAUUAUCUGAUUUAUUAUUCCUGUAUAUUGUGCCUUGGUUGGGCCAUUAGUUAAUGGUGUUGCUAUCAGAAACAAAGCAAGACUGACAUAAGAAAGGAGAGAUCUGUCUUUCAUUCCUGGUCAGGUGAACAAAAUAUGGCAAGCUGAUGUGUGUCGUUAGCAACUUUGCUAACCAGAAAUUCCUUCUAAACAUUUCUGACUGCA